rnacentral:rRNA from 1 species
UACGUAGGGGGCAAGCGUUAUCCGGAUUUACUGGGUGUAAAGGGAGCGUAGACGGUUAUGCAAGUCAGAAGUGAAAGCCCAAAGCUCAACUUCGGGACUGCUUUUGAAACUGUGUAACUAGAGUGCAGGAGGGGUAAGCGGAAAUCCUAGUGUAGCGGUGAAAUGCGUAGAUAUUAGGAGGAACACCGGCGGCGAAGGCGGCUUACUGGACUGUAACUGACGUUGAGGCUCGAAAGCGUGGGGAGCAAACAGG